CAUUCUCCAUUCCCCGUUUCCUACUGCAACCAUGAUGUGAUCUUCAUCUACUUCGUGUCCACACCGUCAGCUUGAAGGAGUUAUUUUUCUUCUCAUUUUGACGAUCAACCUUCCUCCAUCCUCCCGGUGGUUAAUCAACCGGAUUUUAAACUAUACCCAAUUUAAUUAUUUUCUUUUCUUUAAACCUUCUUUUCUCUUUAAAGCUGCGCCGUCCGGCUGCUGGCAGAGGAGAAUCAUAGAAAUCUAUCACAGGUGAAACGAGCUUUUAUGAUGCUGCAGUACAGAUGAUUGAACAGUUUGAACAUUAACUGGAAGCAAUCCUCAGGCACAAGCGCACUGCGCCUCCUUUUACUUAAAUAGGACCGUCACACUUUGGGGCAACUAAAGGGACGUUGACCAACUUGUGAUUUUGAGCGCAUAAAAUCAAGAAAAUAUUUCUCAGUGGGGUUUUUCUCAAAAAGAUGUGACCUUUUCUUUUGCGCACCGGCAACCUGACUACCCAAGGAUCCAAUCAUUGCUUUUCCAUCAGUCGCUCGAUCUUGACAUGCAUUUUUGUGGGAUUACACGUGGAGAUAUGACUGUCGUGAGAAUCCGAGUUGGAUUGUGAAAUUAUCACCCUUGCUUUUUAAAUUUCUCUGCAAAGAGGAAACACUGUUUUCUUCAAUGGCUUCGGUGUCAAGGUUGGCAAGACGCAAAGAUGCCACUCGCUGGCCGAGAAUGUCGUCAACUUUCUGGGCUGUUGUGUUUCUGACAGCGCUGCUGCUCAUCUACUGCGGCCAGCUGGCAGCGGGGACAUGUGAGAUUGUGACGUUGGACAGGGACAGCAGCCAACCACGGCGGACCAUCGCCAGGCAGACAGCCCGCUGUGCCUGUAAGAAGGGCCAGAUCGCUGGAACUACAAGAGCCAGACCCGCCUGUGUGGACGCUGGUAUUGUUCGGAAAAAGCAGUGGUGUGAGAUGGUGCCAUGUUUGGAGGACGAGGGUUGUGACCUGUUAGUCAAUAAAUCUGGAUGGACUUGUACGCAGCCCGGAGGCCGAGUCAAAACCACCACGGCUCUAUGACGCGACAAGAGUCCCCCUCGACACUCUUGCACUAUGGAGAGCACUGAUGACCCCUUGACAGACAGCCAAAAUCCACCUACCAACACCACCACCAUCACAGCAGCUCCAACCAUUCCCUGGUUCCACAAAGGCAGGAAGCAACACAAGCAGCUACAGAGCACAAGGGCUUCAUGGAGGCAGCGAGGUCUCGUAACACAGCCAGAGAAAGGGAAACAAGACUGGACAAAAUCGCUAGAAAACACCUCCUAUUUCCUGUGACCGGCCCCUCCAGGUCUCUGACUGCUCCUUCCUGCUGUCUGUUGCUGGGUCAACCCGUGCAUCCACCUCCUUGCCACUGCAUCUGCCUGCUCUGUGAAACUAGCAGCACCUGCUCAUGCCAUGGAGGAGAAAGUCCACUUUUAGGAGCUGCUUAUUGCAUCUAAUAAGGGAUUUCACCAACUCUCUCUCUAGUGCAGCAGUCAAGAGCAUUGCCGGGAUCAUCACAGACCAAACCCUGUUGCUUCUUGGACCAUCUCAUGAGGCCAUAAACAACUAACUGAGUGCUCUUUGCUGUGAAUAGGCCUUCUGCUGGAGUAAAACUCCCAUAUUUUUAUAGACCAAAGAGCAAAAAAACAACAAACGAUCACUGCGACAGAGACGACCAUCUGGCGAAAACACAGACUAUAGAUAUUUUUCUUGUGUUGUCACCAACCAACGGCUGUCUCCACAAAGACACAGCACACAUGUGGACCGAUGUAAACCUUUUGCAACUGGUGGCAUACCGACCGUACACAAUCAAAGGAGUACUUUUAAAGACUUUUUUUUCUCAGACUAAGUCCACCACUGUAUUUUGGAACUGGAAAUAUAGGUACUACAUACGUAUAACUGUGUAUUAAAAAAGAGAAAAAGAAAAAAAUAUCCAAUUUGCAUUUUUCAGUAGCUAUGGUUUGGACAGCUUACAGGAAGAAAUGUUGGACUGAUGAUGGAUGAGGAAGGCAAAUCAUAUUAAUGAAAUGAAAGAUAUCCAAACAGAGUAAGAAUGCUCUGAAGAAGGACUAAAGAAAUGUCAUUAAAUGUAUUUUGAAAGGCCCUAAAAAGUUAUAUAUUUAACAGUUUUAUAUGUUGUACCUUUGUAGAGAAGCAUAUUGGACUUAAAAUGUGGUCACAAUGGCAGUUUAGUAGGAUGUGAACAAAUGCUGUUGUUCUCAUUACUGCUGGCUUGUAGUCUCUGGUUUUCUGUUCACACCUCAGUAGCUGCUUUCUUUUCAUGGUCAUCUACAAGUCACAGUUUACCAGAACCAUUAAUGAAAAAAAAGGAAAGUGACAAUUUAUUGAGGACUGAUCUGCAGCCAACUGAACAUUGUAAAUCUAUGGUAGUCAGUGGAAGCCAUUGAAAUCUGCUAAUUUGCUAUGAUAUUGUAUUGUACACGGUGUGGAAUACUGACUCAUUUCCUCUCUAUGGGUUUUGAUCUCUUAAUUUAUUUUUGUGCUAGUGUUUGUUUGCACCAAUCCAGCCUCUCCCUGGUGCCCAAUGGGAACACUGAAGAGAGAGAAAGAGGAAUCAGAAGAAACACUGCAGAAGAAGUCAUAUACAUGCAUUUUUUUAAACCAUAAAAUAUUUUAAGAAUAAAUUAAAUACAUGAAAAGAACCGUGCCCUGGAUAUUCAGAUGACUUUGGUGUUCAAGGUCAUCAUCUGGGAAUUCAAUUUAUCUUAUUCUGUUGUUACGAUUCAUGGUUGUAAAAAAUAAGCGAUUUUUUCCCCCAGAUAUCAGGUGCAAAGUCCUAAAAAAGCCGCUUUCAGAUGUGCACUGCUGUACAGUUUGUUACACAAUGCUGUUCUAUUUAGGCCGAUAUUAAUUUUUAAGGCAAAAGGAUCCAUUAUCAAAACUUCAUGAGAACUUUCACAGUUUUGCUGCAGCUUCUUAUUUCACACAGCAGUGUUUUAAGGUGACAUGAAGGUUUUUCUCAAGGUGAUAGCAACUUAAAGUCUUAUAAUAAUGCAAGUAAACACCCAAGUUCUGUAAGCAAUA